rfam:Morus notabilis contig18673, whole genome shotgun sequence.
GGGGAUGUAGCUCAGAUGGUAGAGUGCUCGCUUAGCACGCAAGAGGUUAGGCGAUCGAUACCCCGCAUCUCCA